rnacentral:rRNA from 1 species
CCUACGGGUGGCAGCAGUGAGGAAUAUUGGUCAAUGGACGAGAGUCUGAACCAGCCAAGUAGCGUGAAGGAUGACUGCCCUAUGGGUUGUAAACUUCUUUUAUAUGGGAAUAAAACGUUCCACGUGUGGGAUUUUGUAUGUACCAUAUGAAUAAGGAUCGGCUAACUCCGUGCCAGCAGCCGCGGUAAUACGGAGGAUCCGAGCUUUAUCCGGAUUUAUUGGGUUUAAAGGGAGCGUAGGUGGAUUGUUAAGUCAGUUGUGAAAGUUUGCGGCUCAACCGUAAAAUUGCAGUUGAAACUGGCAGUCGUGAGUACAGUAGAGGUGGGCGGAAUUCGUGGGGUAGCGGUGAAAUGCUUAGAUAUCACGAAGAACUCCGAUUGCGAAGGCAGCUCACUGGACUGCAACUGACACUGAGGCUCGAAAGUGUGGGUAUCAAACAGGAUUAGAUACCCGAGUAGUC